ensembl:miRNA
GGCUUCCUGUGUCUGCUGGGCUUUCUGGUGUUGGCAGCCCAAGGUGGCACACUGGGCCCAGCAGGAAGCAGAAGCC